CCUACGGGAGGCAGCAGUGAGGAAUAUUGGUCAAUGGACGGGAGCCUGAACCAGCCAAGCCGCGUGAGGGAUGAAGGUACAGCGUAUCGUAAACCUCUUUUGUAAGGGAACAAAGGCUGGGACUAGUCCCCGGAUGAGGGUACCUGAAGAAAAAGCAUCGGCUAACUCCGGGCCAGCAGCCGCGGUAAUACGGAGGAUUCGCGCGUUAUCCGGAUUUCUUGGGUUAAAGGGGUGCGCAGGCGGCCGGUUAAGUCCGCGGUAAAAGCCCGGGGCUCAACCCCGGCGAGCCGUUGAAACUGGCGGGCUGGAGUUGGAGAGAAGUACGCGGAAUGCGCGGUGUAGCGGUGGAAUGCUUAGAUAUCGCGCAGAACCCCGAUUGCGAAGGCAGCGUACCGGCUCCACACUGACGCUGAGGCACGAAAGCGUGGGUAUCGAACAGGAUUAGAUACCCGAGUAGUC
rnacentral:rRNA from 1 species